UGUCUUUAAGGGAUGCUCACUUGAACUA
rnacentral:piRNA from 1 species